CCUGCCCUUUGGAAGCAUUCUCAGGGCAUGUCUCUGUAACAUCCAGCCCUAGAGCUCACACCAGCUCUGCACUGAAGGGAGCAGGGCCAUUCUGUGCUUCAAACUGCACUUACUGGCACGGACACAGCUCGAGGUGAUGCUGCUGUGGGGGUACUGAGCACCUCCCAGCUGUGCUGGGCUGUGUGGUUGUAGUGGCUGGGAUACCUUUGGGUGCUCCAGGUGAUGCUGAGCCUCCUCAGGUGCCCCGGGCUGGCUUCUCCUCCUCCUCCUCCUGGCACCCAUCCCCUGUAUCUGAAGAGGAGAAUGAACUGGUCUGUUUUCUGAGCCUGCUGGACAAUCUAGAGGAGAAGUGGAAGAAAACCCAACUACCAUCACUUCCCACCCCCACCAAACCCUUGGAAAUGCUGUGGAAACAGGACCUGCAUGAAGACCUAUAGGGCAUAAGUACAUGAAGAUUUUGGGAGAGGUACCUGGAACAUGGGAAUCCAGAGAAAAGUACUUUGUUUACUGCACCAGAGUCUCCCAGAGCUGUGGAGAGUCCACAUGGCUGAAAGCUGGCAGCCAGGCUGCAGGGAUAUCAGCUGCCUGCCUGGUACCUGGGCCCAUUCACAAACUGGGCAAGGCUGGACAAGCCAUUUCACCCAGGAUGAAAAUCCUACCACAGCUGGGAUGUGCAAGGGUUGGACGAAAUACUGCUUUGUGCUGUUUGGAAAUUAUUCACUUGGGAUAAAAAUAUAUGUUUAAGAGGAGAUUUCCACCCUUUCUCAGGUGGGAUUAACUAUGCUUUGGAGCUCACAGCAGUUGACAAGGAGGCGACAAUGGGAGAACAGGGUGUGUUGUGCUCUUGUCUAAAAGCAGAAGGGUAGGUGGGAACCUUCAGGCAGGUUUCUGCCUGCAGUGCUUCUGGUUUGGUACACCUGGCCUGUGGCAGGCAAACCUGGACUGCCCUGUGUGUCCUCAUGAAGCUGGGCAGCACAGGGCUGAGGUCUCAGCAGCCACCAGUGUCACCGCGUGUCCCCCGUGAGCUGACAGCAUGGGCAGAGGCAGAGCUGUGUGCAGAAAUGCUCUGGAGGUGGUUGUGGGGGAGAGGGAGGGUGGGGAGAUGUGCUGGGACACGUGGGCUGUGCAGAGAGUGCAGUGUGUGAGUGGGACCACGAGUGCAGGUGACAUCCCCCCCUCCCUCCAAUGAGCACUGUCCUUCCCAUCCGGUCCAGCCUCCGCCCUCAAUCUCUGGCCAAAGUUCCCACCCCAUCCAAUUGCUCCAAUUAGUGCUGUGGGUUUUUUUUUUUUUUUUUCUUUUUCUUUAUUAAGACGGUGGCUGGAGACCUGCCUGUGUUUGAGUCCAGCUCCCUUUAAUCUGUCCCAACUCUGAUUGAGGUUAACAGAGUUUCCUGCCCAGCAGCUUCUUUGACAAAUUAAGAGAGAACCAGUGAGACACUGUCAAUAAACUUCCCACUGUAUAGAUUUUGUCCAGCAGAGCCUGAAUAAAUUGGGUCAUGCUGCCAUAUGUAAUCCACGCACUUGAGGUUUGACCUAGCUCCUGUGCAAACCAGUGUGCAGGGAUGUGUCUGGGAGCUGGACUGCAGCUCUGGCUGAGACAGCUGAAUUUUGAAAGAGCUGGGGUGGAGCCGUGCCGUUCAUUUUUGUGGACCAGUUUCAUUUGUACGGGAAGAUGAUUGAUGUCUUCCCGCGGGAGCUUUUGUCUGUGCUGGAGUGUGUCUGAAACAACAUUGCCAAGAUACCUUGGGGCUGGGUUAGGUAAUUAUUUUGUGAUUAGAUACUGAAAUCAAAUAAAUAAGUUAAUCAUUUUACAAGUUCAGAAGAAAAUACAUUUAUUUAAUCUGAAACUUCUUCACAAUAGCAAUGCAUUACUUUGUCUUUUUCUGCAUGGUGUUGGCCUCGGGUCAGAUGAUUUCCCACCAAAUGAUUCACUAGCAUUCCAUGGCCCUGGUAAUGCAAAGUCACCUG